UCCCCGCCCCUCCCCGCCGGAGUUCUCGCGAGGGUGGUAGCUGCCGUCCCCGGGUGUCGCGGCCGGGUUCGCACGGCCUUUCUGACCCCGGGUCACUCCCCACCUCGCAGGAUGGCGGCCCCCGGCUCUGAGGAGGACAAGGCGGCGGCAGGGGGAGGGCCCCCGUGCGUGGGGCGGCGGCGGCGGAGCCGGACGCUGCUGGUGCGGCACCUGCCCGCCGACCUGACGGCCGCGGAGAAGGAGGAUCUGCUGAGGCACUUCGGGGCCGCGUCCGUGCGGGUCCUGUCAGACCAGGGGCGGCUGAAACAUACAGCUUUUGCUACUUUCCCCAAUGAAAAUUCAGCUGUAAAGGCAUUGUCAAGACUGCAUCAGCUGAGACUUUUAGGUCACACUUUAGUUGUUGAAUUUGCAAGGGAACAAGACAAUGUUCAUGUUCUUAGCCAACCUUCACUCUCAGAGAAAAAUAAAAGGUCAGAAGAACCAGUGGAAGAAGAGAGAGAACGAAAAGAGCCAAGCUGUCCUAAAAUAGAGAAUGGAAUUGCUCCCAGCCAUGGGCUAACCUUUCCUAUAAACUCUUGCCUCAAAUAUCUAUAUCCACCGCCUUCAAGUACAAUCCUAGCAAAUAUAGCAAAUGCCUUGGCAAGCGUGCCUAAAUUUUAUGUACAGGUGCUGCACCUUAUGAAUAAAAUGAAUCUGCCCCCUCCCUUUGGACCCAUUACUGCUCGACCACCCAUGUAUGAAGAAUAUUUACCAGCGCCUGUGCCGCCGCCACCUAUCCCACCACUGCCUCCGGAGGAGCCUCCUUUGCCUGAAGAAGAGGAAGAUCAGGAAUCUAGCAGAGAAGAAUCUGAAUAUGAAAGUGCUGAUGAGGAAGAAAAGGAGAGAAUGACUAAAUUGAUGGAAUUAGCAGCCAUUCAGCCUAAAAGACCAAUAUCCACAAAGCAGCGUAGUGUGAGAAAAAAGCAAAAGAUAAAAGACUUGUUGAAUGCUCCCACAUCUGCUCCCCACAGUAAUCUGCACCCUACACUAUCACCUUCGGAUGUGUUUGAGCAGCUGCAAUCUGUUGGUCAUAAAAAAAUUAAAUUCCAAAUUUCUGCAGACAUUCCGGAUGUUCUUCAGAAAAGCUUAGAGAGAGACCAAAACAAUGAUCUUUAUGCAACUUCAGAAGAAAUAACUAAUGCAGGAUUUGGAAAGAUCUUCCCAGCUCCUAGCUCUAAUGAUAAAGAGGACACAGAAGAAGAAGAAGGCGAUGAUGAAAUACCAUCAGAAUUUGUUUCUAGAAGGGAAUUGGAAAAAGGCAGACUUUCUAGAGGAGAAAUGGAAAAACUUUCCAUUUUCAAAAACUAUGAGCCAGGUGAUCCAAACUGCAGGAUUUAUGUGAAGAAUUUGUCAAAACAAGUUCAAGAAAAGGAUCUCAAGUUUAUUUUUGGAAGAUAUGUUGACUUUCAAUCAGAAACUGAACGAAUUAUGUUUGACAUACGUUUGAUGAAAGAAGGUCGCAUGAAAGGACAGGCUUUCAUUGGCCUUCCUAAUGAAAAAUCAGCUACCAAAGCCUUAAAAGAAGUAAAUGGAUAUGUUUUGUUUGAAAAGCCCAUGGUGGUUCAAUUUGCACGAUCUGCUAGACCAAAACAGGAUUCCAAAGAAGAGAAAAGAAAAAGAUAGAACAAUGCUAAAGAAACAUUCCUGCGUAAAUACUGCAGUAAUACUGUCAUGCAGAGUGUAUCCUUUCUUGUUGUAUCCUUUUUUGUGCAAUGUUUUCCAUAGCACUCAAAUACCUCCAAGUUCUCUUUUUAGUGUAGGUGCGGGGAGGAAUUUAUACUCUUUUUACAAUUUUGCAAACCUCUGUUAAAAUAAGUAAGAUAUUUUAAAAUUAUAAAGGGGACUUUUUCAGGGAGAAAGUUAGUGAAUCCGGUCACUUAUUUACUUAGAGGGACACCAUGAAUGUUUCUAGUCUCAAAAUGUGACCUUUCCUCCCUGUUCCUUCUCUAAAUCCAUAUAAUUCUUUAUUUUAUGGGCCAGAUCCUGAACUGGUGUAAAUUGGCCUUGUUCCAUUGACUUCAGUGGUGCUGUGCUGACCUAUAUCAGCUGAUCAGCUGGCCCUAGAUGUUCCUUUUUAAAAAAUAGCAACACCACACUGUGUUAGAAUGUUUCAGUUUUGAUGGGGUGGUUAUAAGCAGAAAACAAUCCUUGACGUUGUCUUUUUAAGUAAUACAUUCAUUUAAUGACAGCUUGUGUCCCAGUUUAUGGGACGCAACCUGCACUUAGUUUCUCUUGUAACUUUUUCCUUUUUUUAGACUAGAGAACAGAAAAUCUAGCAAUGUCUCAUAAUGAAGUAAUGAAGACUGAAGCUAAACUUUAUUCAUUGCUACCUUUGUUUCCCACUUUCUGGUAGUGUUUUAUGGCAACUAAUCUAUAAUUUUCCUGGGGGUUUUGUAUUACAGCAUUCUGUGAUUAACCUUACUUCUUUUUUUAAGUUUAAUAUAAACUAAUACAUGCUGUAUGUAGUAAGCCAAAUUUAGCUGGCUCAGACAUGAUUCACUAAUUUUCUAUAUCUUAAGAUCUUUCAACUUUCCAGUUAAGCUUCUGACAACUGAACACAGUAAUUUUCCAGUCAUUUAUACUUUUAACAUGCCUUUAUAAUGUUCCAGGUUCCUUUUGUGUUCCAUCUCUUUCAAGUGUUACCAAGCCAUGGGAAGAAGCAAUGUGAUCAACAGGACUGUUGAACAGGAACUGAAUGGGAGGCUUCUUCCCCUAACUUGUCGCCUGGGGGAAAUUGACUAGCUCUCUCUAGAGUUUUCAGGAAGAAGUCAAUGAGAUUGUUCAGAGGGUCAACCCCAAGCCUGAUGUAUGUGCUCCUCUGUGUGGUAUUCUGCUCUUUGAAUACUGAAAGCACACUGAGGCUCAGAUUCUAGGACCCUGUGAGGUGAGAGGGUUCUAGAGCCGGGCUGCAGCCCAAGCACGAACAUUUAUGCUACAAUUAAACAGCCCUUUUUCCCGAGCCCUGUGAGUCAGCUGGCACAGGCCAGCUUCCAGUGUCUAGUUGCAGUGUGUAGACAUACACUCAGGGUGCACUGAAGGAUUUCACAAUCACCAUCAUUAAUUGAUCUGGCUUUACUGCAAGCUCAUCUUCCACCUCAUCUCAAAGAACUAGAAAACCUCUGCAAUGGACCCUCCUUUCAAACAUUAACUGAACUGGGUGAAAGUAAGGGCAAAGUUUAUGUUCAGCUUGCUAUUUCGUGCUUAUCCAUUUUAUCUACAUGAUUACUCACUUUGCAAUGGACAAGAACAUGUAACUGUUCUCUUGGAGUUAGGACAGAAUAACCAAUUAUAGUCACAGCCAGCACACACAAACAUUAAAUAGCCAGUCAAUGCUUUAACCUCACUCUUGAUUGCUAGGAUUGCAUGUACAUGUGCAACUCACAGUUAUGAUGUGAAUGUAAUGACAAACUUAACUUUAAAAUCCGAUUGCAUGGUGUAGAAUUGCCUGGCUUUUCUAGCAGUGAUGUAUAAGACAAGGUGUGAUUCACGUGUCCAGGAAAGAAAAAGAUUCCAAAUGCUAUAAUUCUGCCACCCACAUAAGCUGCUUCUGUCCUCUCCAGAGAAAAUCAAAGGUUCAGUGACUUGAUCACAGAUUCUCCCUCUUUGUUACAUACAUUCUCCUCCAAUCAGGGAACAGAAACAACACUAUGUGAUCAAGCAGACCUAGCAUACGAUGAUGAAUCUACAAACUACAGUUCAUAAACAAUUCCUAGGCUGAAACUUGUUCAUAAACUACCCAACAGUUACAGAUAGCCUAUUUUUCUGCUUACAAACUGAUUUUUGUGCUAAAUUUGUGUAAUGAUUCAUUCAAAAUACCUCAGCUCCCAAUUAUGAUUGUGAAUUACAAUAACAGCUGAUGGCAACAGGAUCUGGCAGCAGAAGCUGCGCAAUAUGAACUGGCACACUUUGCAGUUGAACAAGUUCCAAAGAGUACAACUACACAGAAAGGUUGAGGUAGUACUGCCUCACUUGUAUUUUUAUUUCAAGCAAAGGGAGGGUUGUUAUGUAGAAGUCUUUUUUCUUUUUUUUUCUUUUUUUUUUUACAUUUUGGAUAGACCCUUUCCCAUUCCACUAGUUUGUUUGGUGUCUGUAACAUGAUGU